rnacentral:rRNA from 1 species
UUUUGCAUYAUGCUGUGUCGAUAGGAUAGGGUAUUUUCUUUUUACCGAAAGGGUUUGAUUUUUAAUUCAGUUGUUUGGGGCUUGUUCUCCGGGUAGGGCAUUAAACUGAUUUAACGCUGUGAUAAAUAAGUCGUUUUCCUUUAUAUCUGUUUCUUGUCCUGGUUUUCUAAUUAAUCGCUCGGCAGUGAGGUCUGGCGGUAGUGUAUAUGCUUCUUUAUGCUAUAUUAUAAUAGGGUUAAAAAUCCCCGUUUGUUGGAGUUUUGUUAUAAUUUGUGUAGAGUGUCGUCUGUCAUUACAUUUAGGUGACAAGUAAAAUUAACUGUUUGGUGUAUUUAUGGUACAAUGAGUAAUUAUAUAAAGUGUAUUGUUUCUCAAGCAUAUUCCGUCUGUUUAUUAAAAACAUUUCUAUGUGUGAUUUUAUAUAGUAGGACCUGCUCAGUGUUUAGUUAUUAACAGCCGCAGUAUUUUGACUGUGCGAAGGUAGCAUAAUUAAUUGCCCUUUAAUUGGGGGCUUGUUUGAAUGGUCUGACGUGGUUAUUGUCAACAUUACUUUUGUUUGUGAAAUUAAUUUUGAGGGCACAGAAUCCUCUGAUCUUAAUUAGACGGAAAGACCCCGGGAUCUUUUUAUUUUGCCUGGGGCAGGUUAUAUUUUUUCAAUUUUUAUAUUUUGAUCCUGUUUUUGGUUAAUUGGGUUAAGUUACCCCGGGGAUAACAGUGUAAUAGCUUAUUAGAGAUCCUAUCAAUUAAGUUGUUUGCCACCUCGAUGUUGACUUAAGUACAUAAUAGGGCGCAGUAGUUUUAUUAUGUGGUCUGUUCGACCUUAGUUACUUCCAUGAGUUGAGUUAAGACCGGCGUAAGCCAGGUCGGUUCUUAUCUAUU